AUUGAACGCUGGCGGCAGGCUUAACACAUGCAAGUCGAGCGGGGGAAGGUAGCUUGCUACCGGACCUAGCGGCGGACGGGUGAGUAAUGCUUAGGAAUCUGCCUAUUAGUGGGGGACAACAUCUCGAAAGGGAUGCUAAUACCGCAUACGUCCUACGGGAGAAAGCAGGGGAUCUUCGGACCUUGCGCUAAUAGAUGAGCCUAAGUCGGAUUAGCUAGUUGGUGGGGUAAAGGCCUACCAAGGCGACGAGCUGUAGCGGGUCUGAGAGGAUGAUCAGCCACACUGGGACUGAGACACGGCCCAGACUCCUACGGGAGGCAGCAGUGGGGAAUAUUGGACAAUGGGGGGAGCCCCGAUCCAGCCAUGCCGCGUGUGUGAAGAAGGCCUUAUGGUUGUAAAGCACUUUAAGCGAGGAGGAGGCUACUUUAGUUAAUACCUAGAGAUAGUGGACGUUACUCGCAGAAUAAGCACCGGCUAACUCUGUGCCAGCCGCCGCAGUAA
rnacentral:rRNA from 1 species